GCCAGUGGUUAAAAGCUCAGCUGUUAACUGAGAGGUUGGUGGUUCGAACCCACCCAGUGGCU
rnacentral:tRNA from 1 species